rfam:Schistosoma haematobium scaffold614_21, whole genome shotgun sequence.
ACCCAGCUGACGAGUCGCAAAUAGGAUGAAACGGUCGUCUUGGUU